GUUCCCUCCGAACAAAGCAGCAACAUAUCAUUGGUGGUUCUCCGCGCACCCUGGUUUGACAUCAGCCGUCUUUUCCGGGUUGUAGUUCAGCUGCCAUUUUGUCCUACCCUUCCCAUGCAGACAUUCCGACUUCUUUGAUAGGAUAAGGGGCCCUGGUGUUCGAUGAGGGACCAG